GACAGAGGGUGCAAACGUUUGUUCGGAAUUACUGGGCGUAAAGCGAGUGUAGGCGGUUUCCUAAGUCAGGUGUGAAAGCCCCGGGCUCAACCCGGGAAGUGCACUUGAAACUGGGAGGCUAGAGUAUCGGAGAGGUUGGUGGAAUUCUCGGUGUAGAGGUGAAAUUCGUAGAUAUUCGCAAGAACACCAGUGGCGAAGGCAGCUCACUGGCCCGAUACUGACGUGAGGUGCGAAAGCGUGGGGAGCAAACAGG
rnacentral:rRNA from 1 species